AUUUAUUUAGAUUCAAAUUUUAAAUUUCCUACAAGUGGUAUCAGAGUCAUCUCAUAUUAGAUAAUUGAGAUUGAUUCAUUGUAUGGAUUCAAAAAUUUUCUUUCUAGAUUUUGCUCGCACAGCCUUAUGGUCAUUUGGCCUUACAGCCUCACGACCAGUCGGAUUGGUGAGGCUCAACCUCAUGGUCAUGCUGGUCAGUCUGUAGUGACCUUAUGGCUGCAGCGAAGAAAGGAAAAGUGACAAUCAAAAGCCAUCAUGUAAGAAAGAAG
rnacentral:lncRNA from 1 species